UGGGGAAUAUUGCACAAUGGGGGGAAACCCUGAUGCAGCGACGCCGCGUGAGUGAAGAAGUAUUUCGGUAUGUAAAGCUCUAUCAGCAGGGAAGAAGAUGACGGUACCUGAGUAAGAAGCACCGGCUAAAUACGUGCCAGCAGCCGCGGUAAUACGUAUGGUGCAAGCGUUAUCCGGAUUUACUGGGUGUAAAGGGAGCGUAGGUGGCAUGGCAAGCCAGAAGUGAAAGCCCGGGGCUUAACCGCGGGACUGCUUUUGGAACUGUUGUGCUGGAGUGCAGGAGGGGUAAGCGGAAUUCCUGGUGUAGCGGUGAAAUGCGUAGAUAUCAGGAGGAACACCGGUGGCGAAGGCGGCUUACUGGACUGUAACUGACACUGA
rnacentral:rRNA from 1 species